rnacentral:rRNA from 1 species
GAUGAACGCUGGCGGCAUGCCUAAUACAUGCAAGUCGAGCGAAUGGAUUAAGAGCUUGCUCUUAUGAAGUUAGCGGCGGACGGGUGAGUAACACGUGGGUAACCUGCCCAUAAGACUGGGAUAACUCCGGGAAACCGGGGCUAAUACCGGAUAACAUUUUGAACCGCAUGGUUCGAAAUUGAAAGGCGGCUUCGGCUGUCACUUAUGGAUGGACCCGCGUCGCAUUAGCUAGUUGGUGAGGUAACGGCUCACCAAGGCAACGAUGCGUAGCCGACCUGAGAGGGGGAUCGGCCACACUGGGACUGAGACACGGCCCAGACUCCUACGGGAGGCAGCGGUAGGGAAUCUUCCGCAAUGGACGAGAGUCUGACGGAGCAACGCCGCGUGAGUGAUGAAGGCUUUCGGGUCGUAAAACUCUGUUGUUAGGGAAGAACAAGUGCUAGUUGAAUAAGCUGGCACCUUGACGGUACCUAACCAGAAAGCCACGGCUAACUACGUGCCAGCCGCCGCAGUAA